rnacentral:sRNA from 1 species
CAGUAGCAACUCAUGGAGUGCAAGCGAUGUGGACCUCCGUCCUGCUGCUCGUGACGGUCGAAAUGCCAGGACCAGCCAGAGAAGCUCGUCAAAAAGGAGACGCUCACUGAGCACCAAGAUGACGCUCCAGAAGAUCGACCAUGUGGCCCAGCCAACUGGGAUGUAAGGCGCGGAUCCUGUGCGACCUUUGCUACCGCACCUAGGAGCUUGCACCGAUGCGCAACGACAGCCGGCAUGGGUUUGAUGGCCUGUUCCAGACCUUGGGCACCACCAUUAAGCGCUUCAACUAGGCUAUACACUUUCCGGCCCUCGUACUUCCUUCCUUCUCAGAUGCAGCAGAAGGUGGAGGCCAUGAAGGAGCUCAACGAGGUGCUCAAGGCGCUUACCCUUAAUCGACCACCAAUUAAGCAAAUAGAGAGAGAGAGCCAAUGACUUACGCCGAGAGUAAGAUCACGCACGUUUUCCUUGCUGCAUUUGCUGUUCCUUUGCUUUCCCUAUUGGUGAUGACACGGCUUGAUCUGAACGCCAGAGCUGAAGCCCCUGCGAUCUAAUCCAGGAAGUUCCUUUGCGCCAUGUACUGUGUGGUUAGUAGCAGGACCAAUAGCAUUCUAUGAAAAAGGAACUGCUUGCGAAGACUUGGGAAAUUCUGCUUUGAAGUGCCUAAUAAUUCUACAUAUAUGUAUGCCUGAUUGCGAGGACGAUGUCCGACGAAUUCGAGUCUGAGGCUUAUCCCGCAGAGCUAGAAGAGUUAAUAGAAAUACUGUAAAGAACGUAUUAAAUAUCACUUUAAUAAAAAAUUG